CAGAGGGAAGGGGGCAGGAGCCCUAGGGAUCAGUGUAUUCACUCCAAAGAACAGAUACAAUACAGACUAUGCAUUGUCUCAGCAGCAUACCUCUGUCUUGAUCCAAAAGGGCCAGGGCUAGGGUAGUUCAGCCUCCACGCCCAUUCAAUCCUUUGCCUCU
rnacentral:sRNA from 1 species